rnacentral:rRNA from 1 species
GGACCCGCACAAGUAGUGGAGCAUGUGGUUUAAUUCGAAGAUACGCGCAGAACCUUACCAACACUUGACAUGUUCGUCGCGACUCUGAGAGAUUAGAGUUUUCGGUUCGGCCGGACGAAACACAGGUGCUGCAUGGCUGUCGUCAGCUCGUGUCGUGAGAUGUUGGGUUAAGUCCCGCAACGAGCGCAACCCUCACUUUUAGUUGCCAUCAUUAAGUUGGGCACUCUGAAAGAACUGCCAGUGAUAAGCUGGAGGAAGGUGGGGAUGACGUCAAGUCCUCAUGGCCCUUACGUGUUGGGCUACACACGUGCUACAAUGAUAUCUACAACAGGAAGCAAGACGGCGACGUUAAGCAAAUCCUUAAAAGAUAUCUCAGUUCGGAUUGCACUCUGCAACUCGAGUGCAUGAAGCUGGAAUUACUAGUAA